GCCGGGCGCGGUGGCUCAUGCCUGUAAUCCCAGCACUUUGGGAGGCCGAGGUGGGGGGAUCACCUGAGGUCAGGAGUUUGAGACCAGCCUGACCAACAUGGAGAAACCCCAUCUCUA
ensembl:misc_RNA Metazoa_SRP Metazoan signal recognition particle RNA